rnacentral:misc_RNA from 1 species
GAUGAAGAACGUAGCGAAAUGCGAUAAGUAGUGUGAAUUGCAGAAUUCAGUGAAUCAUCGAAUCUUUGAACGCGCAUUGCGCCCCUUGGUAUUCCAUGGGGCAUGCCUGUUCGAGCGUCAUUUGUACCUUCAAGCUCUGCUUGGUGUUGGGUGUUUGUCUCGCCUCUGCGUGUAGACUCGCCUCAAAACAAUUGGCAGCCGGCGUAUUGAUUUCGGAGCGCAGUACAUCUCGCGCUUUGCACUCAUAACGACGACGUCCAAAAGUACAUUUUUACACUCUUGACCUCGGAUCAGGUAGGGAUACCCGCUGAACUUAAGCAUAUCAAUAAGCGGAGGA